rnacentral:rRNA from 1 species
UACAGAGGUCCCGAGCGUUGUUCGGAUUCACUGGGCGUAAAGGGUGCGUAGGUGGCAUGAUAAGUUUGAUGUGAAAUCUCCGGGCUCAACCCGGAAAAUGCAUUGAAUACUAUCAGGCUGGAGGUUUGGAGGGGGGACUGGAAUUCUCGGUGUAGCAGUGAAAUGCGUAGAUAUCGAGAGGAACACCAGUGGCGAAGGCGAGUCCCUGGACAACACCUGACACUGAGGCACGAAAGCUAGGGGAGCAAACAGG